GACGAACGCUGGCGGCGUGCUUAACACAUGCAAGUCGAACGGAAAGGCCCUGCUUUUGUGGGGUGCUCGAGUGGCGAACGGGUGAGUAACACGUGAGUAACCUGCCCUUGACUUUGGGAAAACUUCAGGAAACUGGGGCUAAUACCGGAUAGGAGCUCCUGCUGCAUGGUGGGGGUUGGAAAGUUUCGGCGGUUGGGGAUGGACUCGCGGCUUAUCAGCUUGUUGGUGGGGUAGUGGCUUACCAAGGCUUUGACGGGUAGCCGGCCUGAGAGGGUGACCGGCCACAUUGGGACUGAGAUACGGCCCAGACUCCUACGGGAGGCAGCAUGGGGGAAUAUUGCACAAUGGGCGGAAGCCUGAUGCAGCAACGCCGCGUGCGGGAGGACGGCCUUCGGGUUGUAAACCGUUUUCGCCUGUGACGAAGCGUGAGUGACGGUAAUGGGUAAAGAAGCACCGGCUAACUACGUG
rnacentral:rRNA from 1 species